rnacentral:rRNA from 1 species
UACGUAGGGUGCAAGCGUUUGUCCGGAAUUAUUGGGCGUAAAGAGCUCGUAGGCGGUUUGUCGCGUCUGCUGUGAAAACUCAGGGCUUAACCCUGAGCCUGCAGUGGGUACGGGCAGACUAGAGUGUGGUAGGGGAGAUCGGAAUUCCUGGUGUAGCGGUGGAAUGCGCAGGAUAUCAGGAGGAACACCGGUGGCGAAGGCGGAUCUCUGGGCCAUAACUGACGCUGAGGAGCGAAAGCAUGGGGAGCGAACAGGAAUUAGAUACCC